rnacentral:rRNA from 2 species
UUUUUAUGAGAGUUUGAUCCUGGCUCAGGACGAACGCUGGCGGCGUGCCUAAUACAUGCAAGUCGAACGCUUCUUUUU